CCCACCCCCCGCUCCCCUCCGCCUGGGCCACACACCUCUGUCCACAUUGUGGCUGCUUUUCCAAAAUGAUCCGACCUCACUGAGAACACCCUCCCUCCUCCAGAACAUCCCACACCCUCCAAUUACAUUCACCUGAUGCCACCUGGCCAUAGAAAACUAGAAAGUGCAUGUCCCCCGUUUCUAAAGCCUUGGUUUUGUGAUCAUCUGAAGCCCUGAGUUUAGAAUCUCUAUGUUGUAACUUACUGAGGGUCCUACAUUUGCAGCCAGUCACAUCCCAAAGUACAGGAUUCUCCAAGAGGCCCAUGGCAGACAGCCUCAAACCUCGGUGACAUAGGGAGCUCGUCACACACACACUUCCACACCUGCAGUCUUGUCCUCUCCAGCUGCUCACCAUCUGCUGACCCCAGUCAGCGAUUCUGGGAAAAGCUGGACUUAGAAGGAAGUCUCCUGAGGGUAUUUAAUAUCAAAUAGAGUGAGGGUUCUCAAAGAGUGGUCCCUGGCCCAGCAGUGGCACCAGCACCCAUGGGAACCUGUUAGGCGCAUCCUCCACCCCAUCCAGGCCGAAUCAGAAGCUCAGGGCCGAGGCCGGCAGGCUGUGUGUUAACAAGCCCCACCCCACCCCCAGGGGAUUCUGCGGUGCACUCAAGUUUGAGAGCCCCUAAAAUAUUGUAAAAGAUGGGGGGAGAAAAUCUUCCAGUGCCAAAUGUUAAAAGGCCGUGGUAUGAUAAAUGAGGGGUAGGGAUGGAUGCCCAGUUACCCUGAUUCAGCUGUUACACAUCAUACAACUGCAUAAAAACAUCACAUGUAUCCUGUAGAUACAUACAACUGUGUACCCAUGAAAAUUAAAAAUUAAAUAAAAAGCCACAGUGGAGUGCCUGUGCGGGCUGUUUGCAGCAGUGUGAAAAGUUUACAGCAUUUACUGUAUGUUGGAUAAUAAUUCUCUUAAAACUCACUUUUCUGAAUUUUAAAAGUAAAUCCCCAGGGAUUCUGGGCUAUGAAAACCUGACCCUUCCCAUUUUCACCAGAAUAACCACCGCCAGAGCAUCCUCCUAUCCCUCACAACGGGAACUGGAAGCUCUGGGAACCCAGAAGUUCGCCAAGUCCAGGCUCCCCACUUUGCUGACACGGACAAGAAAGCUCACAGGCGAGGGCCGUCAUCAAAGGGAAGACUGCGACUGCCUUCCGUGGGGCGUUGUGACCCAGAGGCUGUCAUAGACAAGCCUGGGAAUUUUGGGUCCAUCUUGCUGAGAUUAAAGACACAGGAAAAACCUUCUAGGCUGCCUUCCCUGGGCCCUCGCCCAGGCUCUUCCACCAUGCACUCACACGGCACCCUGUACUUGAAAACACUGCACGCGUAACUGUGCGUGAGAUUAACUGAUUUUUUGAUGCCCUUGUUCUCUACGAGUGAUAAACUUCAGAAGAACAGGAUGUGGGUCUGUUUUGUUCUUUUGCCUCCCCCACACUUGGCACAAUGCCCAGCACCCAGUAAGUGUUUUGAGGGACAGCUGACUGACUGAGCAGCACCACGUCCUGCCCGUGUGGCAUCCUGGAUGCUUAACGUGUUCCCAUGCUAUAAAAGACAGUGCACUUCUCCAAGAGCCACCAAACAAAUGCAGAUGCUAAUGCCAAAUAGAGAGUGCCACCAGCUUGGGAAGGGAGUGCCUUGUUGAGGACAUCUCUGUUUCUCUCCAUGGAGGCAGUGUGGAAUAAUGGGAGCGAUGUAGGACCUAGAGGAGAGACCUAAACUCUGUUACUUGCAGCCCAAAGCAUUCAUAACUGCUCUAACUAUAACUGUUAUGUCAGAAUUAUCACACAUAACAAGCCUUGAGGUAGGAGUCUAGUCCAGAGUUGGUGCAGUGUACUCAAAGAUGCCAUCGGAAGCCUAGAGUUAACCCCUCUGCUCCACCAUCUUUGACCUCGUGGUCAGAAGGGAGUUGCUGUUGUUCCAGCCAUCAGCUCCAUAUUCCAGGAGGAAGAAAGGAGAGGUAAACAGUCCAGUAAUGGUUUUUUGUGUUUUUUUUUUUAUCAGGAGGCAUACCUUUUCAAGAAACCUCUAUGUCCACCCAGCCAACUCCCACUUAAAUCUCUCUGGCCAUAACUCCAUCACUUGGCCACGUCAGCAGUUAGGAGAGCUAGAAAGGUGAAGAUUGAACUAUAGAGAGUGGAAAAACAAGCAGCAAGGGUGGAAUGGAAUCUUGUUUUAUGUCUGCAUGUUCCAUCGAAUAAGGUACCCCGAUUAGUUCAUUCAGUCCCUUGCUGUUGGACAUGUUUAUGAAAGUGGCAUGUGAGAAACCGACACCAGCGAUUCUCCUCAUAGCUUCAUCUUUCACCAGCAGUUGCCCUUCUAGGAAGAACCUUGGAUGUGCACGCUCUUUAGAGCUUUUGAAAUGUCCUGCCAAAUCAAUCGCCUUCCUAGAUGGACUGUUCCCACGUACAGUCCCUCUAGCAGACGUGAGUGCCCGUUUCCCCCAAAAAUGUUUGCUAACACUGGAAAAAAGACUGGGGCAAUAGGAAUGGCAAUGUGACCCAGUCCCUCAUUCCCCAGAAGAGGGGACAAAGAGAAGCCCUUGCACAAGGCCACAGCAUAGCCAUCGCUAGAACCAGGCCUCAGCACCCAAGGCUGGGCCCCCUCAGGUUCUCAGAGAGGCCCAAGGCCAGGAGACCUUGGGGCAUGCUGCCUUGUAGACAGUGGGUGUGGGCAGCCCUGGGCCGGGGGUCACCGGGCCAGACACAUUUACUUCUGACUCAGCAUCGUAUUUGCUAGUCAAGCUGUGUGACCCUGAGCUUCUCGCCUAAGUGUUUCUGGGACCGGUAAAAAGAAGAAAUAUGGCUUAGAUCCAGGUCUUCUCGCGGCCAUCAUGUCUGUUACGGACUGGAUUGUGUUCCCCUAAAAUUCGUAUGUUGAAGCUCUAACCCCCAAUAUCACUGUAUUUGGAGAUGGGGCCUUUAAGAAGUACUUAAGGUGAAAUUAGGUCAUAAAGGCAGGGCCCUAAUUCAGUAAAAUUGGCAUCCUCGUAAGAAGAGGACGAGACCGCAAGAAGAGCAUACAGAGGAAGACCACGCGAGGACAUGGCAAGACGGUGGCCACCUGCAAGCCGAGGAGAGAGGCCCCAGGAGAAACCGAACAGCCCAAGAGACCUUCAGCUUGGACUUCUAGACUCCAGAACCGCGAGAAAUAAAGUUCUGUUGUUUUAGC